CUCUGAGUUUUCAGUUACAGAACAGCUGAAAUUAGUUAGUUCAAUCAACUCUAAGUUGACUGACUCUGAGUUAAGCGAGUGCACCACAACUAUAAAAAGCCAUUAUCAAUGGAGCGCAGAUAUUAUGAGUCACCAUGGCAACAGCGGCGAAGGACAGAGAGUUAGCUUGGGAGAAAAUAGCUGCUCGAGUCAAUGCCCAACAGAAAGAAGGUAGAGGCUCGUAAAACAGGGGGAGGACCUGCACCACCACCUCUGACAAAUGCAGAAGAGAUGGCCCUGAACCUGAAUGCUGGAAGGCCAAUGCCUGAGGGAAUUCCUGGAGGGACUUCAUCAGAGUCAGUCACUCCUGAAGAUUUAAGUGCCUUCAUAAAAUGUAAGAGGUCUACCUAUGUGUUAUUUUCUAUAUAGGCUAUUUGUGAUAUUUCCAUUUAUUUUACUUUGUGUUGGGUUUUUCGUUGGUCCCAAUAUAUUCUGAUGGUAAUAUGUGUCUUUUGGAGCCUCCUGUCCCAACAGAACCCCAGGCAGUUGAUGAUGGGGAUGAAGAAACAGUUUCUGCUGCCACAGAGAGGCCUACAGAGAGUGUGGAAGAACAGCAGGAGGAAGGUCCAUCGACUUCUGGUGCACAGAUGAACACAGUUCAGUGAUUUUCAGUAAAUGCCACAGUUUAAUUAUGUAGAAUUUGUUUAGAACUACAUGAUGUAACUCUAAUCUACUGUAUUUUCAGUUGCCAGUUAAGGAGUUAUAUAGAUUUCAUUUUAUUAAAAAAAUUGAAAAAAAACAGCAAACAAUUUAUAUACUUGGAUCGCCAGAUCCAA